rnacentral:rRNA from 1 species
UACCAGCACCCCGAGUGGUCGGGACGUUUAUUGGGCCUAAAGCAUCCGUAGCCGGUUCUACAAGUCUUCCGUUGAAUCCACCUGCUCAACAGAUGGGCUGCGGAAGAUACUAUGGAGCUAGGAGGCGGGAGAGGCAAGCGGUACUCGAUGGGUAGGGGUAAAAUCCGUUGAUCCAUUGAAGACCACCAGUGGCGAAGGCGGCUUGCCAGAACGCGCUCGACGGUGAGGGAUGAAAGCUGGGGGGAGCAAACCGG